rnacentral:lncRNA from 1 species
CAACCAGAAGACUGAAUUGUUUUUGAAGGGAAGGAAAGGAAAAGAAACGGAAGAAGAAAAAGGAGGAGGAGGGGAAGAAGAGGAGGAGAAAGAAGAAGGAAAAGGAAGAAGAAAUAGAGAAGAAAACGGAGGAGAGGAGGAAGAAGGGGCAGGCAGUGGGACAGGCAGUCGAGCUGGAUUUGUUUCUCAUUCGCUCUUGGCUCCUCUGGUGGAAAAAUCGAAGCGCUCCCCCUGGUACUGCUGAGGCGGAGAGGCAAACUCUGCCCCAGGCCUUGCUACGGCCUCUGCUCUGGUGGAACUUCCGGAUGAAGAGGGUGAGGCGCUAUUUACCAUACUGGGUGCUGUGAUGGGGGAGAUUAAGGUGACAGCAGCUCCGGGAAGGGGACUCCUGACCCAACCUCUGGUGUGAAGAGCAUAGAGAAGGCUUCCCAGAGUGAGGGGUGACCAGGAGGAGCCCGGGAGGAAGAGCAUGGAGGGCAGAGGGAGCAGCAUUUGCAAGGCCCAGAGGGCAUCCAAGUGGAGGUGCCCAUGAGAUGGCUGGACGCAUGGAGGUGCCCUGGAGAAGGUGGAGAGAGAGGAAGCCGGCACAGCCUGCAAAGAGGCCAGAGAAUGAGUAGCCAGAGCCCCUGAAGCCUCACAGGAGGAGGUCUUAGACAAGGCACAGCCAACAGUGCCAAUGGCAAGAGAUGAAGCAGGUGAGGCCCAAGAAGGGACAUGUGUUCUAGGGACCCAGAGGCUUCUCCCUGUCCCCCAGCCUUUCCUUCUGUCUGUCCCCCAGCCCUUG